GAUGAAGAACGCAGCAAAAUGCGAUAAGUAAUGUGAAUUGCAGAAUUCAGUGAAUCAUCGAAUCUCUGAACGCACAUUGCGCCCGCCAGUAUUCUGGCGGGCAUGCCUGUUCGAGCGUCAUUUCAACCCUCAAGCCCCCGGGUUUGGUGUUGGGGAUCGGGCUGUACUCCAGCCCGGCCCCGAAAUCUAGUGGCGGUCUCGCUGCAGCCUCCAUUGCGUAGUAGCUAACACCUCGCAACUGGAACGCGGCGCGGCCAAGCCGUUAAACCCCCAACUUCUGAAUGUUGACCUCGGAUCAGGUAGGAAUACCCGCUGAACUUAAGCAUAUCAAUAAGCGGAGGA
rnacentral:misc_RNA from 1 species